AGAGCGUGAAACCGCUGAGAUGGAAACGGAUAGAGUUGACGGAGCUCUGCUGCAUUCACCCGAUCGGCCUAGCGGUCCAAUGGCUUUGACUUCCUCGAUGAGGGCAAGGCUGCUGGUAACUGUUGGGUAUUUGAUCGGUGUAUUUGCGGCUGGUAUGCGCUGAGGGCUUUGUGAGCGCAUGUCGACGGGCGUGGAGUGGACCAUACCUUUCCGGUGUGGAACCCUUCGCGCUCUUAGGCAUGUCGUUUGUAAAGUUUCAAAAGUGCCGUCUCCGCUAUGGUGCAUCGGUUUUGUCGAGCUGUUGUGGCUUCAGGCUGGUCGCAUGCGACCGUCGGUCGUCGUCAAUGGUCCGUCAAAGCACAGAUGCGCCGAGACGUGCACCUCGGUGUGAACGUUGACCACCUAUCCGACCCGUCUUGAAACACGGACCAAGGAGUUUAGCAUAUGCGCGAGUCAUUGGGUGGAAAACCUAAAGGCGUAAUGAAAGUAAAAGUCGUCUCGAACGGCCGAUAUGGGAUCCGCAUGGCUUCCGAGUUGUGCGGCGCACCAUAGCCCCGUCCCCGUUGCAUGCAAUAGGGCGGAGGUAGAGCGCAUACGCUGAGACCCGAAAGAUGGUGAA
rnacentral:rRNA from 1 species